AAUGAAUACGAUAACACCUAUUUAUAGGGUCCACUAAAUAGCAAUGCAUAUAGGAUCUACUGAAUACCAAUGCAUAACUCUCAUUAAUAAGAUCCACUAAAUAUAUUUAGACUAAGAAUUCAAAUCCAAUACAUAAACAAAAAUACCUUUAUUAAAUAAUACAUAUGUAAUAAUUUCAAUCAACAUAUCACUACAGCACUCUGGACCAUUACCACU
rnacentral:lncRNA from 1 species